UAACUUUAAUGGUCCGUCAGGCUGAGGAAAUAUAAUUACGUGGCCUUUUUUGGCUGACUGUCUCUCUUGAGCUCUACUGCCAAUCAGCUUAACAAUGGAAACAUAAAGUCUACUUUUAGAUAUCAGUAAUUCUUCCACGAUUGUUAGAGGUUCUAAACCAAUGCGAUCAUAGUUCCCAAAGUCAAUUCCAGCAGCAAUGGCCAAUUUCGGUAUUGAUGGCUUACCAACCAUAAUGUUGCUGUGGCAUUUUGAACAAAUAGCAGCAGUUCCAUUUUUGACAAGCUCACGAUGCAAAUGAUAAAGAAGACCUAUUUAUUUCGCAAAAUUGGUUAGAGAUUAUAUUUUAAUUGCCAAACAAGCGUCAAGAAACGUUGAAGCGUAUAUUACGCAAAUAGUGUGAUUUUGCUUGACUGACACCGCUGUCACAGACCAGCCAGAUAUUAGGAAGCAGACGAAAUCAACUUUUCUUUUCUAACAACAAUAGAUAGAUGCGCCAUGGCCAGAGACACAAAUCAAAUCAAUAGAUAGAUUCUUCUGCUCUUUGCUCUGUGCAAAUACUCUUAUGUGAUAUGGAAUUUCAAGAAAAGUAAAAUCGUAAUUCUAAAGUGAUUGUUUUGUGCAUUUACACCACACACCACAUAAUAACUUCAACUUUGCUUUUACGUGUUUGGCGAUAGGGAUUCAAGUAUAGGAAGCGAUUUGUUCAUUUGUGAGAAGGAGAAUUGACAAUUGUUCUACAGGAAUGUAGUGGUACGUUGUUUUCCCCAUUACAAAUUCCCUGAUGCCACAGCUUGCACAACCAACCAACAGUGCAUUGGUGUUAAAAAACUGCUGAAAUCUAUCAACUAUUUCUCCUUUAUCCUCAUUUCUAAGAUUAUCCUUUAGUUCAUGAAGCAAUUGUUCAGUGACUUUCGGUGCCAUACCACUGCUGUAAAGAUUUCGAGUUGCCGAAAACCUUCCCAGUCCAGAAUUAGUUGCCAAAGCCAUAAGUGCAGUUAUUGGGUUUUUUUCAAAAUCAGCUAAUUGAUUAGCUGUUGGCGGUUCUUUCAAGUCCAGACUAAUCGUAUUUUCAGUUAAAAACUCCUCUGAUGAUUCCAAUAGAGAUAAUUCUCCUCCUGUUGCUACUUCAGUUAUAAUUUCAAUCACCAGAGCAUUGCUGUCCAUGUCUUGAACUUCUGAGGAUUCAUUUUGAAACUGCAAGCACAAUUAAAAUGGACUUUAUUGCUUUCUUAUCAUCAGAAUACUAACAAACAGACUAAUAUAUUUGGAAUCCUACCUCAAUUUCUAUGUCCACAUCAAUCAAUUGUUCUUCAGAUGGCGCCAAAUCAUUUGCAGAAAACAACUGCAUUAAUUGCGAAUUUAAGUAUUGUACGUUUUCAAAAUAAACCACAAAUUGGUUACCGAUAUUCGAUUUUCUUCCACUAAAUCAAAAUCUAAACGGCUGCAUUCCUCGCUUGCCGCCCUUUUCUGCGCCUUAUUAAUAAUCUUCUGCCUGUCUGGUGUGAAAGUACUUUUUUUCUUGCCUCUUUUCGGCAUUUUGAAUGAUUUCGCUCGUAAUGCUCAUGCGGAACUAAACAAAUUCCUACCUCAAUUUCUAACAAAUUUAUUAGUCCGUGUCAGAGGUACGCCAUCUAGCAGAUAAAUCCAUAAUAUAUGAAUGGAAUCACCAUUCCUAGAUGGCGUGUAAGUUUCGAGUUUGCUUCUUGAUGUUGUUUUUAAGUCUAGAAUUUGGUGUUACUUGGUGUUACGAAUUUCGUGAUACAGAUAUAUCGGCCGAAAUAUAGGUUUUCGAAAUGGCGAAGGCGUCCAUCGCCACACAGUGUUUCACACCUAAUUCAUGAUAAUAGAGUAAGAUCAUUCGCAUUUGAUUUCAUCACUAGUUUUUAGCCCUUGGUACUUUUUUCCCCCCUUCGAGCUGUGGUCGUGUGAUUUAUAAGUUCUGAAAAUUAUCUAAUGCAUAUUAUCUCACCAGCACGCCGGCCCGCUUUUCAGAUUGUAUCGUCCACCUUCUUUCCUUAUGGGAAAACAAGGUCCAGAAAUGUACUGGAAGACUUUGAAUCCAGGCCAGCAGCUGCAAAUAUCAAGCAGGUGCUGUUCUUAAGCUUUGAAGACAUUUUAAAAGCUCUUCAAACAACUGCAUCCGAGUCAUUGAACACAAGGCAACUUCACUAUCACAACAAUGAAAACAAUGUGGUCAAUGUUGCGAGAAACAUUUUUAUUAUGAAGAUUCGUUGAUGUUUGAAUUCCUUUUUUAAAAAAUUGUGUUCUGCUUCAUCACCUUAAUUUAAAUACGUUAACAGGGGUGGCCUUGCUGGCCAACAAUUUGUGUUUAAGCGUGUCACUGGACCAACGACUGAUCCUCUGGAAACGAGAAGACACUCGACUUAGAUGGCUCUCGCCCGUUUGCUGCGACAUAUCCGACAUUCAAGGUCUGGACGUGUCUGUGGGUGCCUCCAAAACUUCUUUGCCCAAAAUCCUGGUUUACGGUCAAGGUAUUCAAAUCUUUGAAGUGGACAACUUGUUCAACAUCACCGAACAUCACUCACAAAAUAGACUAUUCAUCUGUCGACCCGUUAUCCGACUAAGGUAAAAAGAAAAAUACAAAAUAUAUUUUGCAUGGCGCGCUCGUUGGGUAACAACUUUUUGAGUUGUCUUAUCUCUUUUGAAAUGAUUUCGGCGACGCUUUUAUUACUGUAAAUUGGCUCGACAUAUUGUGGAAUGAGGACUUCGAUUUAUUAAAUGAAAUUGUAUCUUGGUGUGCCAUUAACAAUUUUCCUUUUUUCAUUUUCUUGAUUUAUCCUCUGAAUUCUCAGGAAUGGCAACUGUAUCUUGCUCCUUUUUAGUCCUGAUCAAGUAAUCUUGAAUUUCUUGCGCUUGGCGGCAUACCGGUGAAAACUGCAAUAGAAAUGAAAAAUGUU